GACGAACGCUGGCGGCGUGCUUAACACAUGCAAGUCGAACGAUGAAACCUAGCUUGCUAGGUCGAUUGGUGGCGAACGGGUGAGUAACACGUGACUAACCUGCCCCUUUCUCUGGGAUAACGCUCCGAAAGGAGUGCUAAUACCGGAUACUCACACCGAGGCACAUGCCUUGGUGUGGAAAGUUUUUCGGAAAGGGAUGGAGUCGCGGCCUAUCAGCUUGUUGGUGAGGUAACGGCCCACCAAGGCGACGACGGGUAGCCGGCCUGAGAGGGCGACCGGCCACACUGGGACUGAGACACGGCCCAGACUCCUACGGGAGGCAGCAGUGGGGAAUAUUGCACAAUGGGCGCAAGCCUGAUGCAGCGACGCCGCGUGAGGGAUGAAGGUCUUCGGAUUGUAAACCUCUUUCAGUAGGGACGAAGCGAAAGUGACGGUACCUAAAGAAGAAGCACCGGCUAACUACGUGCCAGCCGCCGCAGUAA
rnacentral:rRNA from 1 species